UUUGGAUGACUGAUAAAAGUGUUGGAUUUUUAAUCCAAAAAUGAUUAUUGUUUUAAUCUUCAGACA
rnacentral:tRNA from 1 species